rnacentral:rRNA from 1 species
UACAGAGGUCCCAAGCGUUGUUCGGAUUCACUGGGCGUAAAGGGUGCGUAGGUGGUAGGGUAAGUUUGAGGUGAAAGCUCCGGGCCUAACCCGGAAAUUGCCUCAAAUACUAUCCUGCUAGAGGAUUGGCGGGGAGACUGGAAUUCUCGGUGUAGCAGUGAAAUGCGUAGAUAUCGAGAGGAACACCAGUGGCGAAGGCGAGUCUCUAGACAAUUCCUGACACUGAGGCACGAAAGCCAGGGGAGCAAACGGG